AUCGCAAUCUGUUUUUUUUUAUUGGGGGUAUCUGAUCUGAAUAUUACAGUCUCUUUUUUGAUGGGUGUCUGUAAUCGAGACAUUACGGUCUUUGAUAAUGGAGGGGUGUCUGAUCUGAAUAUUAUGGUCUCCUUUCUGAGGGGUGCCUGUAAUUUAGGCAUUACGGUCUUUUCUUAUCAGAAGUAUGUCUGAUCUGGGUAUUACGGUCUCAAUUUUCAAGGGGCGCCUGUAAUCUGAACAUCACGGCCUUUUUUUAAUGGGGGGGUGUCUGCUGCUGACAUUACGGCCUUUUAUUGAGGGACACCUGUAUUAUGAGCAUUAUGGUCCUUUUUUAUUAAGGGGGAUGGCUGGCCUGGAUACUAUGGUCUCUUCUACAAGGGGAGGGGGCUGUAAUCUGUACAUUACAGUCUGACCUUUGAAAGGGUGUACUUAAUCUGGAUAUUUGAGGUGGGGUGUCUGAUCUGGAGGCUACGGUUUGUUUUCAAGAUAUGCCUGUAAAUCUAGAUAUUAUGGUCUUUCUUCGAGAAAGGGGCAGUGCGCCGUCUGGAGAUUACAGUGUCUUUUUGUUUGAUGACCUGAGCACCGCACUCUCCGACUCUGAGCUGCAGCACCUGCGGUCCUCUGGUCACGAAAUCGCCUACCCCGGAGGGGAAAAAAAAACCCACCUCCCGCUAACUCUGCCUAUACCUCUCGUUAUCUUGUGAACUCCCACCAACCUCCUAAGUUGCAGUGAAGAAAUUCCCAGUCCUUUUUUUUUGCAACUCAAACCUUCCAUAUCCGGCAACAUCCUGGUAAAUCUCUUCUGAACCCUCUCCAGCUCGAUUAUAGGCUUCCUUAUAACCGGAACCGCGCACAGCAAUCCCAGGAGACAAUUUUGGUAAACCUCUUUGUGGGAGGUAUGUUGUGCAUUAAAGUAACAUGAAGGAAUGGUCAGUACAUAGAACAUAGAAAAAUACAGGCCCUUCGGCCCUCGAUGUUG